rnacentral:rRNA from 1 species
AACGAACGCUGGCGGCAGGCUUAACACAUGCAAGUCGAGCGCCCCGCAAGGGGAGCGGCAGACGGGUGAGUAACGCGUGGGAAUCUACCCUUUCCUACGGAAUAGCUCCGGGAAACUGGAAUUAAUACCGUAUACGCCCUUAGGGGGAAAGAUUUAUCGGGGAAGGAUGAGCCCGCGUUGGAUUAGCUAGUUGGUGGGGUAAAGGCCUACCAAGGCGACGAUCCAUAGCUGGUCUGAGAGGAUGAUCAGCCACAUUGGGGCUGAGACACGGCCCAAACUCCUACGGGAGGCAGCAGUGGGGAAUAUUGGACAAUGGGCGCAAGCCUGAUCCAGCCAUGCCGCGUGAGUGAUGAAGGCCUUAGGGUUGUAAAGCUCUUUUGUCCGGGAAGAUAAUGACUGUACCGGAAGAAUAAGCCCCGGCUAACUUCGUGCCAGCCGCCGCGGUAA